rnacentral:lncRNA from 1 species
CUGAGUAAACUAUUUAAAGAAAUGUAAUACUGUCUACCUGACCAAUAAGAACAAAUGGAGUUUAAAACAAACGUUUAUUUACAUGAACAACAAAGAGACAAGCGUUUCUACUAUAAUGGAGACUGUGACUGUGUUGCCGAACCAUCACACACACGUGAAGGCUGUUGAAGGAAUAGACUGAUUACGGAGAGCUGGGUGAGCUCAAUCUAGAUCAACCGAUCAGGCAGAUAAAGGCACUCUAAGUGAAUGGAAUAUUAGAUCCAUCAGUUUUUAGUAAAACAUAAGCAAAAGCAAGCAAACAAGCACAACACACCAGGAAACCAAAUAGAUGCUGAUGGAGAUUUUUUAAAACUCUCAAUAUCUGUCAGUGGUCAAGUGGUGGAACCAGGAUUUGGAAAAACAGCGAAAACUUGAUUGAAACUCAAAUUCUUCAUAAUGCUAAGGAGGCACUUUGCAUGAGAAGUAUACCUGGAACCAACAAAAGCCACAGAUAGAGAAAUUGCUUAUUCUUCAGAGGUAGAUUCAUGAAGAUUAUCCUUCCAGAUGAUAAAGAACUAUGCCAACAUUUUCUGUUCAUGCUAUAAGUGACAGGAUUAUUGGAGGAGAUGAACUGGUAAUGGGGGAAGCAAUUUCCAUUUGAGAAGGUAUAAGAGCAUUUGAGAUUAAAUGAUCUGAACCUUGGCAAUGUUCUACUUCUGUCUCUACAACUAGAGCAGAACCAGACUGACCAACAUGCAUGACCUACCUGGCAGUGUUAGAAAUGCAUUCUCUGAGAUUGUCAACUAUAAUUUAGAUGUGUUAUUAGAAACAUGGUAUUACCAAAAACUAAAGGUAAUUAUGGCAAUGUGCAUUCAUUACUGUUUACCAAGCAGUCUUGUUACACAACUGGUGAGUUUGGUAGCUUGGCAGGUGUCAACCCAAUGACCACAACUAAGGAGAAUUUAGCAAGGGAAUUUUAUUACUUAUAACAAGUUAGGGGAAUAUCCCAGGGGUAAUUUCCAAAGACGCAUCUCUUGGACCUGGGGACUAGAUCAGGUUUUAUAGGGUAAUGAGGCAUGAUCUGAUUUGAUCUUGCAAUGAGGUAAUGUCAGGUCACAUGAUCUGACUGGAUUCUGCCAUGGAGUGAUGCCAGAGCUCCUUCUCAUUGGAUCCUGGAUCCUGCCAUGUUGUAUCUGCUCUUAAUUCAGUCUCCAAUCCUCAGACUGAGCAUUUAGGUUCCCACUGGGGUUGCACCCUUGGUUCAUCUGGGUAUGCUCAGGUUACAUGAUCUUAGGGUUCAUGGCAACUAAAAAAACAACUGAAAACUUUGUUACAUAAAAGUCGAAACACAUUGGUUUUUUGUGGCUAGCCUCUUUCAUAUUUGAUUAUCUAUACCAUUUUAUUGAUGAGCAGAAAAUGCUUACUAAAAAAUUAGACCAGACAGCAAAAUAAUUCCAUUUAUACAUUUUUAUUUGAAUUGUUUCCUAUGUCCCCAACAUAGGAAUCCUAUUAACUUACAUACAAAAAAUAGAAUUUCAAAAAUGUGGAUAGAAAUAAAACCAUAUGGUUGGUUUUUUUUUUGUUUGUUUGUUUUUGAAAAAAAAAAAAAACAAAACUGAUUCACUUUUUGUCCUCAGGUAAGUCCCUUCAGCUUAAUGAGAACCGUUGUUCUCACCUGUAUUACUAAUCAGUCGGAAUGCAGUUUUUAUAGCAUACACAUUCAAUAAACUAUGUUGAGAAUGAGUUUUUUUAGUGCUUUAAAAAACUAAAAUAGAGCCAAUAAAUGUAAAAGAUAAAUGUUUGCAAGCUACAUAAAAGUGUGAUUAUACAAAAUGUAUACAAUUCCCCAUCAUUAGCCUAGCACUCCUAUCACAUUUUUUUCUUCACAGUAAUGUCAUAUAUAUUUUUCCUUCAAAAAUCUAUAAUUAAUUUUAGGAAUACCAUUACAGCAAAUGGUAUAAUUACUCAUUAGAGUUGUGGGCAACCGUUUAAAAAGCCAUUAAGAGUUAGUCAUUGUCCUUUAUUUGAUUUGUUAACUAGAAAAUUAUUAGGACUUUUUCCAGAGGCAAAAUUAGGGGGUAAAAAUGUGUAUUGUAGUAUCUAUUUUCAUCUUCUGAAUAAAAAUAAUUUUUAAGGUCUUGUCUUCAAGGCGGAGAUUUCCCAUUCUAUUCUUUUAAACCUGAAAUGACUUAGUACUUACAAGCCCCAUGAAGGUUCUUGCAUAGUACCAACUAUGUACUAUUAUUAGAAUUCCUCCAGAACUUAAUCACAGCUUUAUACCAUGAGAGGCAACAGAAUAUCUUAUAGAUUUAUGUUUAAACUUCCUUGUUACGCAUGUAAAGAAACAGAGGGACAGUGAACGCCUUGGAAAAUUAUUUAUUUACCAAGAUGUUCUUCACAUCCCUCUCAACUCUAGAAGUAACUGCCUUACUCCUAUUCCUCAACUUGAAUAUUUCCUAUAAUUCCUAUAAAUAAACCAGAUUGGUCUCAGUCUUUCUUUUCACAAUGCUAUUCUGGAAAUUAAUGUUAUAUAACAAUAUAUACACUCCCUCCACCCCCACGCACACAUCUUAUAUUCCUAAACUAUCCACAUUACAGACUGUGCAUUCCUAAUGUGAAAAUCUGAAAUUCAAAGUGCUCCAAAAUUUGAAACUUUUUGAGUGCUAACGUGACCCCCCCAGUGGAAAAAUUCUGCAACUGACCUUACGUGUUGGGUUGCAGUUAAAAUGCAGUCAAAAUUUUGUUUUAUUUAUAAAAUUAUUUAAAACAUUAUAUAAAAUUACCUUCAGGCUAUGUGUAUGAUAAUAUGUAAAACAUAAAUGAAUUUCAUGUUUAGGCUUGAGUCCUAUUUCCAAGAUAUCUCAUUAUAUAUAGGUAAAUAUUCCAAAAUUUGAAGAGAAAAAGAAACCCUGAAAUGCAAAAUACAUCUGGUCCCUAAGCAUUUUGGAUGAGGAAUACUCUACCUACAUAUUCAUUUUUCCAAGUCCAACACAUGCCCUAUCUUUCCAUGGUGCCUUCUCUAAUCAUUCCAAAUACUGAUCUCGUCUUUCUUUCAAUAUUUGUAGUCUUGUAUGUUUUCCUAAUAGGAAAGAAAGAAAACAUAUAAGACUACAAAUAUUGAAGAAAUACUCAUUCAUUGCAUAUGUGUUCUGUUUGCAUAAGUGGCUUAUUAUGUUUGACACUAUGUAUUAUUCCUGGCAUCAUUAUUUUGUACUGUUAUUUAAUCUUUUGUUUUAUAAUAUUUGAAGGGACUAUGCCAAAAAUAAAUCUAGGUUGUAAACUUCUUGAGGGAAAGGACCAUGGCCCAUGUAAUACAAUGUCGCCAGGAUAUAGCAUACUAUUAUGCGCAUGGUAGUUCGUUAAUACCAAACUGUUGGCUGACUGGCAGCCAAAUAAAUAUAUACCCUUAUCUUGAUUGGUUUUACCAAUGUCUGUCUAGUAACAUUUUGGUUUUCUAUUUUGUGAACAGGGUUAAAUGAACCUCUUAAAAUAUUGAUAAAAAUAUCAGAGGGGAAAUUGCAGGGACAAUGGGUCUUACUGGGUCUUUCCUUAAUCCUGUUGGCUCGCCUGCCAUACAGCCUAUGUUCAUGUUUUUCCCCUUUCCAUCUCUUUAUUCCUCAGAGGAUAGUUUUAGUAAAUAUACACACAUACAAAAGUUUAUGGCUUAGUGAUGUUAUCCACCACUGUAGAAUCGUUUUGUCUUUAUUGCUGUAAGUUAUCUUAUUCUCAUUUAUUUUGAUAUGUUCUUAUACCUUUUCACAUAAAAGAAAGACUAAAUAAUGUUAUCUUCUUACAAUAAAUCUAAAUGCUAUUAAUAUUUCUCUACAUGCUCACUUCAGGAAGAGUUUUACAGAACACAUAUUACUCAAUCAGAAAAAUUAACACGUUCUACUUUACCAAACACAGAGAAACAUGCAAAAUAGGGUAGAAAUAAACAAAAACAUAUAAGUCAAAGCUUAUAUUUAUAUAUCAGAUGAACCAGUAACAAACUAAAAAUCAUAAAAGAACAUUUUCUUGUCAUUUUCUAAUCAUUUUAUGUAAUGUAUACCAAUAUUCACUUGUAAUUGAGAAAUUCCUUUUUUUUUUUCAAAUGGUUUCCUUAUGCCAAAGAGAAAUUCUUGUCUGUAAAGUGGGGAGAUUAAAAUUUUGACACUAAAGAAUACUACUGGGGAAAAGAGAGGGGUGUGGGAUGAAAGAAAAUCGAGCCAGCUGUACACCUAUAGGUAACCAGUGUAGGUCAUUAGAACACAGGCUUCACACUGCAUGCUGAUCUGCAAAGUGAGGACAUACCAGUGACAACUUUGGAAUCUGCAUCCAGCCACAGGUAACAGAUGUAUUGCACCAGACUCAGAUCUAGAUUUUGUGAUGACUAUAUAAUGAACUAGAAGUUCAAAUUAGAGAAAGAAACAAUUCAAAAUCAGAAGAAAGGUAAAAGCAAGUGGCCACAUGAUCGCAUUAAAAAAGAAAAAGGCAAAUAUCUCAGUAAGUACAUCUGGCACACAUAGUCAGAGGAAGCCAAGAAACUUGAAAUUUAAUUUGAAAUGAGAUAUUUUUUAGCAAGAAGGAUCAUAUCAGCAAGCCAAGGAGAUAAUAUUUUAAAAUUUUUGUUUUGUUCUAAUGAAAGAAAAAAUAUGAUAUUAAAAAUCUAGAAAGUUCUUUCUUCUAUGACAAUUUUUAUGUUUUUUAAUCCAGCAAAACACAGCUCUGUUCCUUGUGUGUAGUGUUCUUUAUUGUUCUUCUAUAAAAAUGUAAAGUUCAGGGAUGAUGGCUCACGCUUGUGAUCCCAGCAUUUUGGGAAGCCAAAGCAGGCAGAUUGCUUGAGCCUAGGAAUUUAAGGCCAGCCUGGGCAACAUGACAAAACCUCCUCUCUACAAAAAAUGCAACAAUAACAAAAAUUAGCUGGGUAGGCAUGGUAGUGUGUGCCAGCAGUCCCAGUUACUCAGGAGACUGAGAUGGGAGGAUGGCUUGAGCUUGGGAGGUUGAGCCUGCAGUGAGCUGAGAUCACACCACUGAACUGCAGAUUGAGUGACAGAGUGAGACCCUGUCUCAAAAUAAAUGAAAGAAUAAAUAAAUAAAACUAUACUUUAGCUCUUUCAAGUCUGAUGGUGAAGAAUGUCUUAUUCAGUUUUGUAUCUGAGGUUACACCACUGGUAUAUGGAUCAAAGCUUUAACUAUUUGUAAUUUUCUUCACUGUAUAUUUCAGUUAUGUCAGAUAUUUUUUGGCACUGCACCCAAAGUCCCAGCUACUUGAAAAGCUGAGGCAGAAGGACCAGUUGAGCCUAGGAGUUCAAGACCAGCCUGGGCAACAUAGCAAGAUCCUCUCUCUUAAAAAUUAUUUUUUUCUUAGUUUCAUAAAUCUCCGCUAUAUUUAUGUCAUAGAUAGAUAACAGCAUAUGGUAAUCAGUUACAAUCUGGGACACGUUAUAGGAACUAAAAGUUGAUUAAUUUACUCAUUAGUUAUUUCACAAUUUAAAAAUUUAUUAAUACUUGUACAAAAUCUCUCCUAAAUGUAAACAACCAAAGUUAUGUUUUAGAGCAAAUGACCUUUAUUAUUUGUUUUCAUAUAUGUUAAAAAUUAUAAACAUUUUGUUAUCUUGUAUAUUCAAGUAAGUUUUAUUUAUAUACUCAACAUUUUAAUUCACUGUAUCAUGUCUGUGUUAUUAUAAAAAUGAAUAUGUAUAGUUUUAUGUCUUCAAUCAUUUUAAGAAGUUUUUCUUUAUAUAUUGCUUGAAAAAAUUAUUUGUUUUUCAGUACACUGUUUGUAGAGAUAUUUUAUAACUCUUUUAUCAGAAAUAUGCUUAUAAACAUUUAUAAAACAUUCUGUCAAAGAGGGUUGUUGAUAAUUUGUAGAGUUUUCCCAUUUUAGUAGUAUAAAUGUUAUACCAUAGCUGAUUUCAAUCUACCAGUGUGACAUAACUAAAUGCAAAGCUUGGUACAGAUGUGCAAAUUGGCUCUAGUACAUCAUUCAACUGAACAUUUUUUGUAUAAGGAUGCUCUUUGUUGUAGAAUGUAAAUAUCUAUGUCUACCUCUGAUAGUUUAUUUAAGGUAUAUCAUAAAAGAAGAAACACUAUGUCAACUAGUUUAUCAUUUUUAAAGCUCUUUAUUAAUACUUUUGGAAGUGUACUAAAAUACAUUCUCAUCAUUGUUUUAUGAUAUGAAUUAUUUCGUAGCUCCUUACUCUGAUGAAUCAUACUUAAAAUUUAAACAAAAAGUG